GAUAAUUCCUUAUCGCAGGUGUGCAAAAUUCCGCCGCUAACAAAAACUAUCAGCGUAAUUGUUUAUUGGCUCUGUGGCUCUGUGGCUCUGUGGCGGACACGGCUACCGAUGCACCCUCAAUGUGCCCUCAACUUUCAGUGUGUGGACCACGAGCUCGGGCCCAACCACAGGCCCAUGUGUCGAGGACUCGUAAUUGCGUGCUAGUAAUGCGAUUUAUAUGCGAGAUGCAAAUGUCUGCGAUGCAACUGGGUCUCGGUUUGCCAGCACCCAGCACCCAGCACCCAGCACCCAGCAGACAGGACCUAGGCGCCGGCACUCAAUUCUCACAUUUUGACAGCGCUUCUUGGACCAUAAAUUCGAUUUUCGUUUCGUCGACAUGGUUUCUCCCUGUUCCCUUCCGAAAUGUUGCAAUAUUUGGCAAUGUCUUCCUGUGCCAAUUGCUUCAUUCGAAAUUAAGAAUGGGCUUCCAUCACACACACACACACACACACAAGGACAUUAGCAUAGACCAGAGAGAGAGGCGAAGAACAAUUUUACGCGUUUAUUUGGAAAUUGUCUGGAAGAGGAAACGAAGGAUCGAAGUUGGGGCCCAACUACCAAAAAUACAUGUCAUCAGUUGAAGGAAUUAAACUCGUAGAUUGCCUUAGAUUGGGGGAUCUACAUCUAA
rnacentral:lncRNA from 1 species